UUCCGGUUGAUCCUGCGGACCCCACCGCUAUCGGGGUGGGACUAAGCCAUGCGAGUCGGCGCUCCAAGCCAUCGUGGGGCGCGGCGGACGGCUCAGUAAAACCUAGCUAACCUACCCAAGGGACAGGGAUAACCCCGGGAAACUGGGGCUAAUCCCUGAUAGGUGACGGGUGCUGGAAUGCCCUGUCACCCAAAGGCUCUAGGAACGAUGCUUCCUAGAGCGCCCUUGGAUGGGGCUAGGUCCGAUCAGGUUGUUGGUGGGGUAACGGCCCACCAAGCCUAUAACCGGUACGGGCCCUGAGAGGGGGAGCCCGGAGAUGGGAACUGAGACAAGGUCCUAGGCCCUACGGGGCGCAGCAGGUGCGAAACUUCCGCAAUGCGCGAAAGCGUGACGGAGUCACCCCGAGUGCCACCCGCUGAGGGUGGCUUUUCCUCAGUCUUAACGGCUGGGGGUAAUAAGGGGAGGGCAAGCCGGGUGUCAGCCGCCGCGGUAAUACCCGCUCCCCGAGUGGUGGGGACGAUUAUUGGGCUUAAAGCGUCCGUAGCCGGCCUAGUGUGUUCUCCGUUAAAUCCGGCGGCUUAACCGCCGGGCUGCGGGGAAUACUACUAGGCUAGGAGGCGGGAGAGGUCGCCGGUACUCCACAGGUAGGGGUGAAAUCCUCUGAUCUGUGGAGGACCACCAGUGGCGAAGGCGGGCGACCAGAACGCGCUCGACGGUGAGGGACGAAAGCUGGGGGAGCGAAGGGGAUUAGAUACCCCCGUAGUCCCAGCCGUAAACGAUGCGGGCUAGGUGUCGGGACGGCUACGAGCUGUCCCGGUGCCGCAGGGAAACCAUUAAGCCCGCCGCCUGGGGAGUACGGCCGCAAGGCUGAAACUUAAAGGAAUUGGCGGGGGAGCACCACAAGGGGUGAAUGCUGCGGUUUAAUUGGAGCAACGCCGGAAAU
rnacentral:rRNA from 1 species